GUCGAGCGAACGGACGAGAAGCUUGCUUCUCUGAUGUUAGCGGCGGACGGGUGAGUAACACGUGGAUAACCUACCUAUAAGACUGGGAUAACUUCGGGAAACCGGAGCUAAUACCGGAUAAUAUUUUGAACCGCAUGGUUCAAAAGUGAAAGACGGUCUUGCUGUCACUUAUAGAUGGAUCCGCGCUGCAUUAGCUAGUUGGUAAGGUAACGGCUUACCAAGGCAACGAUGCAUAGCCGACCUGAGAGGGUGAUCGGCCACACUGGAACUGAGACACGGUCCAGACUCCUACGGGAGGCAGCAGUAGGGAAUCUUCCGCAAUGGGCGAAAGCCUGACGGAGCAACGCCGCGUGAGUGAUGAAGGUCUUUGGAUCGUAAAACUCUGUUAUUAGGGAAGAACAUAUGUGUAAGUAACUGUGCACAUCUUGACGGUACCUAAUCAGAAAGCCACGGCUAACUACGUGCCAGCAGCCGCGGUAAUACGUAGGUGGCAAGCGUUAUCCGGAAUUAUUGGGCGUAAAGCGCGCGUAGGCGGUUUUUUAAGUCUGAUGUGAAAGCCCACGGCUCAACCGGGGAGGGUCAUUGGAAACUGGAAAACUUGAGUGCAGAAGAGGAAAGUGGAAUUCCAUGUGUAGCGGUGAAAUGCGCAGAGAUAUGGAGGAACACCAGUGGCGAAGGCGACUUUCUGGUCUGUAACUGACGCUGAUGUGCGAAAGCGUG
rnacentral:rRNA from 1 species